rnacentral:rRNA from 1 species
ACAACGAAGAGUUUGAUCCUGGCUCAGGAUGAACGCUAGCGACAGGCUUAACACAUGCAAGUCGAGGGGCAGCAUGGUAAGUAGCAAUACUUAUUGAUGGCGACCGGCGCACGGGUGAGU